rnacentral:lncRNA from 1 species
GAAUAUUCUGUGAUGACCUGUCACGGAGGUCAUGUGAUGAUGUAUAUCCUGCCCUCCAUCCCAACUGCCACUGGGUUUCAACUGCCACCUGGGAGACUGCUGGUAAAGAUGGGAGGUGGCCUUUGCCGCUUUCCAUCUUCUCACUGCAGUUUCUUCACGUGGGCCACUUGUACUUAAAAUGUCUUCUUAAUUUAUUCUUUUUACUUCCCCAGCUCCAAUUUGUCUACAGAUUUACAAAUUUGUUUUAUAGUUUUAUGACUCAAUUUGUAUUUUCGGUCCUAUGAAGCUUUUUGCCUUAAAUAUUUUUCUCUGUUUAUAAGAAUGUGCUGUUUCCUAGGCCAGUUUUGUACACACUCUUCCAUAGAAUAGAUCCAGAAGAAACACAACAAUACUGCCUUCAUCAUAUCAGGAGAUCUUGAUACCAAAUACGAGUGUUGCCUCCAAGAUGCAAGAUCCUGAGGGCUCCAAAGAAUCCACUGUCCGUCACAAAUCGACGGUCCGCCAGCUCAGUUUCAGAGACGUGGUGCUCCGCUGCAGGCCUCAUCCUCAGGUGCACCCUGGCAGUCAGCCAUCUGAAGGUACUAUGGAAAUUCAGUUACUCACUCUUGGGAGCAGAAGGAUUCCAGACCAUUCCUGUGUGCACCCUGGCAGGGAGCCAUCUGAAGGAGGGUGGCCCAGCAGCAGCUCAGCCUGUGCUCUCACCCACCUCCUCUGCACACACCAGUCCUCGUCCUCAGCACCCAAGGCUGCCAGAGGUCCUUCAGCAGCUCCCGUGGCUGACAGUGACUCUACGUUUCCUAGAUUUCAGGGACCACCUGGAGGGGAGCGGACCAGAGAGACUUCCUCGGAAUAGGCUGUGGCUCUUCACAAGGUGUCUUCUAUGCUUUAUUUGGGAGCCAUUGCCUUGAGCGUUAUUUCCCAGAUGGUUUUCUAAUGUCACCAACUGAAGAAAAGACCCAUGCACACAGGACACAGCAUGAUCUGAUGCUCACAGCGUUUUCCUUCCUCUCUGAAAACGGACUCAGCGAUUCUGGCAAGCGGUACUUACUCUGAGAUCACCCGUUUGCUAAGGAAAAAUCUUAGUACUGAGAAAGGUGACACUUUCCUCCCUGCUUUUGCUGGAGAGACACUUUGGUUAUGAGUUAUUUCUAGCAUAACACAGUUUAUUUCAGAAGUCCAGCUCAAUAGCAGACCAAGGCAUGAACAACACAUGAAAAUUUAUGUUGGGAAAAUAUAUAUUGUAUGUCUGCUUGAACUGUGGGUUCUUGAUUAAUACAAAACUGGUUGAUGAAGGUUGUUACCUUCAGGAAAAUGCAAAUCUAGUGGAGGGACAAAACUCACAGUAACAGUAUUUCAUCAUAGCCACCAUGAGGCAGUACAUUAUGAAGCAUGUCAGUGAUGAAUUACUGGCAGGCUGGUCUGUCAUUGAAGCUACACUCUGUUUCUAGCUUCUGUUGCUUCUGCUGUCUCUCUCCUAACAUCUGCAUAUUCCUCCACUUUGUGGUGGAGGAAGCAUUAGGGCUGAUAUAGGGGAUUUCCAGUGAGUGUAUAAUUCAGUGCAGAAUUGGCAGGAAUAUAUUCCAUGGUUAGGAGCUGGAGAAAGUAAGAAAUAAAAAUAGACCUUGAAGAAUGGGUAGGAUUUUCAAAAUCAGAGAUAAAGACGCAAGAAAGAGAA